UCCUUGCAUUUAGUUCUGGCCAGGAACAAGCCCAAAUCAGUACUACCCUUUACAUGUUUUCGUGUCUUUUUAGAAUUUUUUUGUUCUUUUUUUCCUUCUAUUAAAGAAUCAUAAAGGAAGAAGAAACUCCGAGUGGUUUCAGACAACCAUCGUGGCAUGAGCUUUUUUACUCAUCUAUAUAGUGAUUGCAAAACGAUUGGACUUUUCAAUUGGUGACAUGGAUUUGAUUGUAGUUUCUGGAACUGGCGGUGUGUAUAGUUGGGAAUGUUGCGGGACAAAGGAGACGACAACAAGCUGUUACGGUUGCCAAGGAAAGAAGGGAAUGUUGAGGAUGCUUGUGUUGAGAAUGAGAUGAUGGUUGAUGAAGAGCAGCCAAGAUUGGAGGCUUAAGCCAAUAUAGCCGUGGAAGAGCUCAAGUGUCUGCUGUUCAGUAUCAGGGAAAAGGUGCAAUGCAGAAGAGGGUGAUACUACUCUUCGGGAACUCAGGCGUUUACUGUCAAAAUCAGAGCUCCCUCCUGUUGAAGUUGCCCUCAGCUAGCGCUGAUGCAAUACCAUUAUUUGUGCAGUUUACUUGAGUCAGCUUGGUGUCUCACGAACAUUGCUGCUGGAAAACCUGAAGAAACAAAAGCUCUAUUACCGGCACUGCCAUUGCUUGUUGCUACCUUGGAGUCCAAACACAUAUAGAGAAGAUGAGCCAUAGGAAUUGGAAAGAGACUUACUAUAUCUUACGAAAUCGCGCCGGCCACA